rnacentral:rRNA from 1 species
UGCCUGGUAGUGGGGGAUAACGUUCGGAAACGGACGCUAAUACCGCAUACGUCCUACGGGAGAAAGCAGGGGACCUUCGGGCCUUGCGCUAUCAGAUGAGCCUAGGUCGGAUUAGCUAGUUGGUGAGGUAAUGGCUCACCAAGGCGACGAUCCGUAACUGGUCUGAGAGGAUGAUCAGUCACACUGGAACUGAGACACGGUCCAGACUCCUACGGGAGGCAGCAGUGGGGAAUAUUGGACAAUGGGCGAAAGCCUGAUCCAGCCAUGCCGCGUGUGUGAAGAAGGUCUUCGGAUUGUAAAGCACUUUAAGUUGGGAGGAAGGGUUGUAGAUUAAUACUCUGCAAUUUUGACGUUACCGACAGAAUAAGCACCGGCUAACUCUGUG